UGGAAAUAAGUAGGAGGCAUUAUUUUGGGAGCUUUCAUAAAUUAUUGUAUUGGUUAAUAAAGCUAAACAUGCUCCUUUUCUGUCUACAGUACUGUAGUAUGAGAGUCUGGGAUAUUUUCUAAAGCAUAUAUUCUAAACUGCUCCCAUGAGAUUAAAGUUUGAUUGACAGAGGAUAGAUAUAAUAGAAUUAGGCUUUGGAUGUACCUCUUCUUACUGUUGUAUGAAAAUCCAAUCAAAAUAUUUAAAAGAUGGUGUACUUAACAGAUCAAGAGUAGGCAGCCAGCUGAUCUCAGGAAGAUACUCUCAGUGGACAAAAUCACUGUAAAAGGAAGAUAAUUGUGGGAUCUAAGAAGUGAAGGUUGUUCAGCAUUUUCAUGUUCAUUUUCAUGUUCAGCAUUUUUAGUCAUCUGGAAAUUAAUAUAAAAUUGCUGAUGGUGAUAUUUGCCAAUGUAGCAAUUGGCCAGUGUAUGGCAGAAUAAUAAAGAUGAGGGCAGGCACAUGACAGUGAAUCUGAGUAUGAUCAGGCUGGAAUUGUUCCAACCAAAUGGCUUAGUAUACCAAGUACAAAACUGUUGAUCCGGAAACAAUGCACUCAGUGUAUAACUAGAGGACUCUGUCCUAAUAUUAGCAACUCUGGAAAGUACUUGUCCAAGUGUGAGAAACAUAGAGGAGAAAGAAUAGAGAAGAAGGGUGGAGAGCUUCCUACAGGUUCCCAGUAUGUUAUUUUGCCAAAGUUUAUUAAGUUACAUAAGGAACAAGAAACUUAUUAAACUGACAUUACCACCAUGUGUAAUGAUGCAAACAGUACUAACAUGCUGCACAGCAAAUCAACACCCAUAGUUUGUAAAUGAGGUUGGAAAACUGUAGAAAAUAAAGAAAAAAAAGGAGGUGGAGGGAUUGGAAAUGAGUUCAAAUAUGGAGAAAAUUUCAUGUUUAGAAUUUCAGGGUGGAUCUCAACAGUAUAUCAUUUACUGUAACAUGGCCUGUUGUGUUUUUGUUUUUUUUUUAAUUGUUUAUUAUGGAUAUUGACAAUGAGUUACCUUGUGAAUCACUACUCUAGUUUAUCAGGAUAAUGUCUGUUUUCUGGUAAGUUAUUCCAUAGAAUUAGCCUCUCCUAACUCAUCAGUUGCAGAUAUUCUGUCUACUGGAGCUCUGCAAGAUAGCUAAGCUAUCACAACAAUCAAUGUACAAUAUGAACAUACUUUUCUCUAUUUGUGAAUAUUAUUGAAGCAUGUAAAUCCAGAGAGGAAGUGCUGGAAACUACACGACCAUCUAAUCUAGCAGAUAGAAACGUAACAAAUUUCUCUGGCUAUAAGCCAAACCAAAAAGUUUCAAAUUAAGAAUAAAGCAGAGAUUUUUGACGAUGUGGAUGAUCAGCCAAUGGAACAACUUACCAAGUAAGCGACAGGCUCUUCAUCUGUAGAUGAAGGAUAGAUACAUCUGCGGGAGAUGUGCAGGAAGACACAGGGUAUUAAACUCCAUACAAGAGUACCUGGAUGACAUUUAAUGCUUGACAUUAUACAGGAAGCACAGAUACUCAGCUAGUACAAUUUAAUAUAGUUGUGCUGACAUCAGGAAAGCUGUACCAGUUUGCAGAGAUGAGAAUCUAUGUUACUGUCCACAUGCAGUUAUAAAUCUAGGUGUUGAAUACAUUUUCAGUGCUAAGCUUUGGUUGCUCACCUUUGAAAUUAAUUUGUAGUUUUAAGCAUUUAGUAGUGUUUCAAACCACAGAGAAUACUUCUACAUGCUUUUUGCCUGGUUUUCAUUAUCAUUUACGAAAUGUAUUAUGACACUUUCUUUACCUGAAACUGCAAGUUUGUGUGGGUUUCCCCUAUGGAAUUGUCACAACUAAAUCACUGUGAUGCUUUUUUCAGGCACCUUUAUGCUGAAUAUUUUCUGGUACUUCCAUGAAGCUAAUAACUCUUGCCAUACCAUGUUCUGAUUUACAAAAGCUUUGGUAGGUUUCUGCUGGUAUUUACUCGCUCACUCUAAUACAGACAUCCCAAUCUGAGCAAAACCCACUCUCUCCAUGACCAGUGCGGUGGCAUUGUCACUUCAUGUUCUUGGUUCCUUUGUGCUUUUCUAUUGUUUCCCCAUACCAGGCUUCUUGGCGGUUUUAUUCUACCGACACCAGCCGAACAAACCUGACUGCCACCUGGCGAUAUUAUGAAAGUAUUCUUCCUCCCCUCAGGCAUGUAUCAGUGCUAUGAAUGAUAAAAGAAAGCCAUGACUUGUAUUGGUUACUAAUCUGCUUUUCAAUUUUUUGUUUCAUCCCCUGCUCCCUCUUGCCUUGUUUUUCUUUUUUAUCAUAUAUCCUGCACGUAGUGUGUAUGGCGUAGUUAUGCGGCUGAUGAGAAAUCGGUUUCCAUUGCUACCUGGAAGCCUCAUUUGAAGGCCUUGCAUACCUGCAGCCCUACAAAAAAAGAACAAGGGGAAGCUUCUAGCAGUCAAAAGUUAAGUUUCAAGGAGCGGGUCCGGAUGGCCAGCCCACGAGGUCAGAGCAUAAAGAACAGGCAGUCAUCAGUCGGAGAUCGCCGGUCCCCGAGUGCCGACGUUGCCACUGAUGGCAGCCCCACCAAGGUCCAGAAGAGCUGGAGUUUCAAUGACCGCACCCGCUUCAGGCCGUCGCUGCGGCUGAAGAGCUCCCAGCCCAAACCUGUGGUUGAUGGUAGGAGUUUUUUUGUGCCUCCUUUUCCAUCAUGCUCUUCUCAGCCUUCUCUAACUGCUCUGGCAUACUAGCAAGGUGAAUGCAGCCCGUGUCUGGAAAGCAGGCGGAAUCUUUAUAUUGGGGUGGGGCUACCAGAAGGCAAUAGCCUGCUGCAAACAGCAUGCUGACACGAUUUUACUAAAUAUGAAUCGUGUGUCAGUGACACACAAAGAGUUAACGGUAGAAAAGAGGGAAAUCACAGGUGAGCAAAAUGCAUCCCGCACAUUUGGGAUCUCUUACUGCCACCAGGGAUACAAUCACCUGGCAGAAAGAUAUAUAUACCAGCAGGUGCCUUAAGUUCUACUCCUUACCUUUGGGAUGUUCUAUCAGGUAGGGGAAAUAGGUGGCUUUAGCAAACAGAAACAGUGUUACUGCUUUUAUGUAUUGCCUUCUAAGGAGUAUUUUAGAUGUGGAAAGAAACAUAGCCUUUCCUGCACCCUGCCUCACUGCGAAAAUGGAUGCUGCCCCUCUCUGCUCUCCUUCCUGGGAAAGCUUCUCUCCAGCAGUCAAAUAAAAGCUGAGUCAGAGAUCUUCAUCUAUAGAAGUUUACUAAGAGGCACUGAUUCUUCUAGCCAGAAAGCACUGCCCCUAGUGACAGCAGUUCUCUGGCUGGCAGGACUUGAGGGCUCCAGUCGUGUCCAACCUCCUUAGAAAUGUUUACUGCACUAGAAGGUGACCUCACACACCCC